UUUCGUAAAUACGAUCUCAUUACAGUACGAUUGAUAUUCUGAUUUCUCUUUGAUUCGGGUGUGCAAUACUAAUACGUGUAUGAUUAUGCAUUACAGAAUUCAGGUCCUGUAACACUGCGAUCGCAUGUACAAAUCUAAGCAGCCAAUGCUCCUCCGAUGUACGAUACUGCCAAGUAGUAUCACGAAACUUCUUGAUACGGAUCUCUGUUCACCAGAAUGAGGAAAGAAAUUGACAUUUUUCCUGCACGCAAUACAGUCUCCUCGCCUGUUAGAUCAUCAACUAUCGAAGUGAAGUGCAACAUCUCUCAUCAUUAUUCAUUCUUCAUGGAAGCAUCCCAUCAAAGUCUCAUCAUAUCACACUGACUACAUUCAACGCACAACGGUUCAGCCAACUACACAGCUGUAGCCAUCAGGGAGGCAGAGACAUCCGGGUAA